rnacentral:rRNA from 1 species
GGGGUCAGUAGGUUGGUCGUGCCACCGGUACGUACUGGUCUCACUGAUUCCUCCUUCCUGAAGAACCGUAAUGCCAUUAAUUUGGUGUUGCGGGGAAACAGGACUGUUACUUUGAAAAAAUUAGAGUGUUUAAAGCAAGCUAACGCUUGAAUACAUUAGCAUGGAAUAAUGAAAUAGGACGAUCGAUCCUAUUUUGUUGGUUUCCAGGAUUGACGUA